CUGGAGGCUGCUCCGCCGUGGGCAGGAGGAGAAGGAAGAGAACUGGGUGCCGCCUGCCUGCACUCUCUCCGGAUGCUGGAGGCUGGAGGCAGUGAGGCAGCAACAGCGCGAGGGCGAGGCGACUUUGGAGCUGCCUCAUGCAGCGACCUCGCCUUCCGCUGCGCCUCCUCCCAGAACCCAAGAAGCCUGGAACCUGUGGCGUCCAGCCCUGAAAGGAGGAGACGGCAACCCAGCCGCGCUUUUGCCUGCACUCUCCCUGGAUGCUGGAGGCUGGAGGCAGUGACGCAGCAACAGCGCGAGGCGACUUUGGAGCGGCCUCAUAUAGCGACCUCGCCUUCCGCUGCGCGUCCUCCCAGAGCCCAAGAAGCCCGGAACCUGUGGCAUCCAUCUCUGAAAGGAGAAGACGGCAACCCAGCCGAGGGUGAGUCCGGGAGUCUGGGGUGCCGGCAGCGGAGGAAGGACAAGCAGGAGUCUCGGCCUCCCGGGGAGAAUUUCACAAAAUUCUCUGAUUAUCUUGUUAUAAUACUGUUACGUAGGCUGUUGUUUUGAUUCUGAUACUGGUCUCUUGUGUUCUUUAAUCUUUUUUCCUUAAUCAGUUUUGCUAGUGGUUUAUUAACUAUGUUGUUUAUAAAAACAACUUUUAGCCUUGGUUUAUUUGUGUUAUGUUUUUUUUUCCAUUUCAUUGAUGUUUGUUAUCUUUAUUAUUGCCUUCAUCCUGUAUUCUUUGCACUUGAUUUUUCUUUCUUGAUUCUUGAGAAAAAAGUUGAGGUGCCGGGCACGUUGGCUUACGCCUGUAAUCCCAACACUUUGGGAUGCCAAGGUGGGUGGUCAGGAGUUCCAGACCAGCCUGGCCAACAUAGUGAAACCCCCAUCUAUACUAAAAAUACAAAAAUUAGCAGGGCGUGGUGGCAGACACCUGUAAUCCCAGCUACUCGGGAGGCUGAGGCAUGAGAAUCGCUUGAACCUGGGAGGUAGAGGUUGCAGUGAGCCGAGAUCGCCCCAUUGCACUCCAGCCUGGGCAACCGAACAAAACUUCUUCUCAAGAAAAAAAAAAGAAGUUGAGGUGAUUGAUUUUCAGUGUUUCUGGACUCCUGCCCUGCAGAGAUCCUCUUGCUGUAACCUGUUUCAUGUGAGGUAGAGUUUAGAAAAUAUUUAUUGGCCUCUGUGCCUUACUUUUCUUCAUAUACUCUUCUUAUUUUGUUGAUUUAUCUUUAGGGAUUUUUUUCCUUAUGUUAAAUUGAAGGACUUAUUGUUAAAAUCUGUAAGUUAGCCCUUUAUUGGCUUAUUUUUGUCAUAGGUUCUUGUUCUCUAGUUUGAUUUUUGUUGUUUCAUUUCUUUGUGUUCAUAGUUGUAUAUAGUAAUCUGGUUGAUAAUGAUCUUGUAUGCAGUAGCUUUGCUUAAUUUAUUUAUUAAUUGUAACACUUUAUGUCAUGUUAGGCUGUGCUGAGUGCUUCUGGGAGCAGCCAGGUUUCCAUGAACUCCCAGUUUACUCUAAAUACUCUAGCAGCCCACAUGUGCACACACUGGAUAAUGGUCAUGCAUGUAGAGCAAUGAUGCUGGGGAGGCACCGACUCUGUCAUUCUGUGAAUCCACCGCACAAUCACAAACAUUAGCAUUAAAAUAAAAUGGACUGUUAGGCAACUGCAAAGGACUAAUGCACCUAUGUGGCACAAAUGUGUCUUUCCGUAUUCAAAGUACUUGUAAGAGCUUCAAGUUCCUCAUACUCAGCCACUGACCUCAGGGUUCUUGGUACACAGGCAUACAUGUGCAGACACACAUACAGGCACACAUAUACACAUGAAUGCACAUAUGUGCACACAUAUUUACAGGCACAUGCAGAUGUGCACACACAGACCUGGGUGAGAAAGUCAGAUGUACAUGGAACAGCCCCUGCUUUGUAAGCUGUCUGGCUUUGUAGGGAGAAAGAGGUGAAACAACACACUUGUUAUCUUGGAAGAGGAGAUGAAGGGAGCUGAGCUGGAUAUGUCCAGUGGGGAGAAAGCCAGGAGCCACUCCACCGAAAAUCGAGGUCUCCACAUGGAUGAUACCCACAAAACAUUGGCAGGAAGGACACAGCCAGCACCACAUCAGUGGUGACUUUCAUGAGUGUCAACUGUGGCCAUCCAAAUUAAAGGCCUGGCAAUGGGAUAAGUUAGCAACUGAACUUUCUGUAUGUUACCUUAUUAACUUUCUGUAUAUUAGCUUAUUAACUUUCUGCAAUCAAAUGCUGAUUAAGCAUUUUCUGAGCCAAAAGCUUUGUGUAAUUUGAAUCUAGUGAAAAAAUGUUAUGCGUUUAACACUAUA
rnacentral:lncRNA from 1 species